UCAGGCUUGUGCAUGAAACUUCAUCGGAGCAGGGAGAGAAGCUGACAUCACAGGUCAUGUGACCUUCAGUGAAAUCUGAGAAAGCAGCCACUGUAGAUAAAGUAAGUGCUUGGUAAAGCCUUUACAUUUGAUUAUUUAGAAUCAUACAAAGAACAAAAAAAAUAACUCAGAAAAACCCUUUUAAGG